GGUCGGGUCCCAUGCGACGACAAUUGGAUGAACCCCGUCAGGUCCGGAAGGAAGCAGCGGUAAUCGCAAUGGUCGUGUGCUGUGGGGUGCCUGGCCUUU
rnacentral:SRP_RNA from 2 species